GACGAACGCUGGCGGCGUGCUUAACACAUGCAAGUCGAACGAUGAAGCUGGAGCUCGCUCCGGUGGAUUAGUGGCGAACGGGUGAGUAACACGUGAGAAAUCUGCCCUUGACUCUGGGAUAACUGCGGGAAACUGUAGCUAAUACCGGAUAUUUUCCUUGGUGGGCAUCCAAUGGGGAAGAAAGAAUUUCGGUCAAGGAUGAUCUCGCGGCCUAGCAGCUAGUUGGUGAGGUAAGGGCUCACCAAGGCGACGACGGGUAGCAGGCCUGGGAGGGUGACCGGCCAAACUGGGACUGAGACACGGCGCAGUCUCCUACGGUAGGCAGAUGGGGGGAAUAUUGAGCAAUGGGCGCAAGACUGAUGCAGCAACGCCGAGUGAGGGAUGAAGGCAUUCGGGUUGUAAACCUCUUUUAGCAGGGAAGAAGCGAAAGUGACGGUACCUGCAGAAAAAGCACCGGCUAACUACGUGCCAGCCGCCGCCGUAA
rnacentral:rRNA from 1 species